GGAGUUAGCCGGUGCUUCUUCUGUGAGUGAUGUCCUUCCUGCCGGCUAUUAACCCGCAGGCCUUCUUCCUCACUGAAAGUGCUUUACAACCCGAAGGCCUUCUUCACACACGCGGCAUGGCUGGAUCAGGGUUGCCCCCAUUGUCCAAUAUUCCCCACUGCUGCCUCCCGUAGGAGUCUGGGCCGUGUCUCAGUCCCAGUGUGGCUGAUCAUCCUCUCAGACCAGCUACGGAUCGUCGCCUUGGUGAGCCGUUACCUCACCAACCAGCUAAUCCGACAUAGGCUCAUCCGAUAGCGCGAGGCCCGAAGGUCCCCCGCUUUCCCCCGUAGGGCGUAUGCGGUAUUAGCCUGGGUUUCCCCAGGUUAUCCCCCACUACCGGGCAGAUUCCCUAUGCAUUACUCACCCGUCCGCCGCUCGCCACCAGGGAGCAAGCUCCCCGUGCUGCCGCUCGACUUGCAUGUGUAGCUCGCCGCCACGCGUCAUCUACGAACCAACGAUACAACUUACUGA
rnacentral:rRNA from 1 species